UUUAAGUGCAACCAUAUGUUUCCGCGCUCAACUUUGCUCAUUCGUUUUAUUUGAAUUUUUUAAUAAUUGGUAUUUUUAUUAUUAUGAGAUGAUAAAAUAUGAAUAUUAUUUUGUACGUGACUUAAGUUUUUAAUUUUUUUAAAAAAAAUUUCAAAUAAAACGAACGAUCAAAAUUGUGCAUGAAAAAUCAUGGCUGUGCUUAAA
rfam:Oryza barthii chromosome 3, whole genome shotgun sequence.